UACGUAGGGGGCAAGCGUUGUCCGGAAUCAUUGGGCGUAAAGCGCGUGUAGGCGGCUCGGUAAGUCCGCUCUGAAAGUCCAGGGCUCAACCCUGGGAUGCGGGUGGAUACUGCUGGGCUCGAGUCCGGAAGAGGCGAGUGGAAUUCCCGGUGUAGCGGUGAAAUGCGCAGAUAUCGGGAGGAACACCAAUGGCGAAGGCAGCUCGCUGGGACGUGACUGACGCUGAGACGCGAAAGCGUGGGGAGCAAACAGG
rnacentral:rRNA from 1 species